rnacentral:rRNA from 1 species
AGUGAACGCUGGCGGUAGGCCUAACACAUGCAAGUCGAACGGCAGCACAGUAAGAGCUUGCUCUUACGGGUGGCGAGUGGCGGACGGGUGAGGAAUACAUCGGAAUCUACUUUUUCGUGGGGGAUAACGUAGGGAAACUUACGCUAAUACCGCAUACGACCUACGGGUGAAAGCAGGGGAUCUUCGGACCUUGCGCGAUUGAAUGAGCCGAUGUCGGAUUAGCUAGUUGGCGGGGUAAAGGCCCACCAAGGCGACGAUCCGUAGCUGGUCUGAGAGGAUGAUCAGCCACACUGGAGCUGAGACACGGUCCAGACUCCUACGGGAGGCAGCAGUGGGGAAUAUUGGACAAUGGGCGCAAGCCUGAUCCAGCCAUACCGCGUGGGUGAAGAAGGCCUUCGGGUUGUAAAGCCCUUUUGUUGGGAAAGAAAAGCAGCAGGUUAAUACCCCGCUGUUCUUACGGUACCCAAAGAAUAAGCACCGGCUAACUUCGUG